rnacentral:rRNA from 1 species
AGCUCCAAUAGUGUAUAUUAAAGUUGCUGCGGUUAAAAAGCUCGUAGUUGGAUUUCGGAAUGUUGUUGAUUAAAGGCCAUCCUUUGGAUGUGUCUCAAUUGAUACUUCCUUACUUUUCUGUUGAGUAAAGCAAUUUACUUACAGAUCAUUUACUUUGAAAAAAUUAGAGUGUUCAAAGCAGGCGUAACUUGCCUUUGAAUAUUACAGCAUGGGAUAAUAGAAUAUGACGUUGGUCUUAUUUUGUUGGUUUCUAAGGCUGAUGUAAUGAUUAAUAGGGAUAGUUGGGGUCGCUCGUAUUGAGUUGUCAGAGGUGAAAUUCUAGGAUUUACUCAAGACGAACUAGUGCGAAAGCAUUCGACAAGGAUGUUUUCA